rnacentral:tRNA from 1 species
AGAGAGGUGCCCGAGUGGUUGAAGGGGGUCGCCUGGAAAGCGGCUAUACGGGAAACUGUAUCGAGGGUUCGAAUCCCUUCCUCUCUG